GAUGAAGAACGCAGCGAAAUGCGAUAAGUAAUAUGAAUUGCAGAAUUCAGUGAAUCAUCGAAUCUUUGAACGCACAUUGCGCCCCCUGGUAUUCCGGGGGGCAUGCCUGUUCGAGCGUCAUUUCACCACUCAAGCCUCGCUUGGUAUUGGGCAACGCGGUCCGCCGCGUGCCUCAAAUCGACCGGCUGGGUCUUCUGUCCCCUAAGCGUUGUGGAAACUUUCGCUAAAGGGUGUUCGGGAGGCUACGCCGUAAAACAACCCCAUUUCUAAGGUUGACCUCGGAUCAGGUAGGGAUACCCGCUGAACUUAAGCAUAUCAAUAAGCGGAGGA
rnacentral:misc_RNA from 1 species